UUUGCUCUGGCCGCCGCAGCAGAACAGGUUCUCGGUCUUGUGCCCUGCUGGUUGUGCUGUCCUGGGCACCGAGCUCGGGACACAGCUCGGGGGAAGAUUUUUGUAUGGGCGGUUGGAGCCACGGAUAUUAUUGGACGAGGAAAAAUAACGGUGGUAAGAAAGAAGAAAAGGAAGAAGGCGUUGGCUGUCUGGGAAUCCUCCACUCCACUCAAGUACUGGUCCAUCCGUCUUCAGGCUAACUUAUAACAACUGCUUGAGAUACGGCACUCGGGGGGA